CUGUAACCAUGGCAACUCUGGAGAUGAUGCUGACUUGGAAUUGAAAAAAGAGAGAAAAAAUCAGCAGAGUGGGUGGACAUGUCACAUCGCCGAUAUCUUGGGACAAAUUUUUAAUUACUGUGUACUUAAUUACUACUGCAGCUUUUUUUCUGCUACACCAAAGAAGACUGCCCAUUCAUAGAACGUCUAUCAUGAAGAACCACACAUCUCCCCAACUUGAAUUUAUAGUCCACCACAUCUGACGCAUACCAGGAAGAAGUUACCCCAACGAAAUCAGUCAAUCAAGGAAAAAGUCUGUCAGAAGUCUGUCAGAAAUCUGAAUGAACUACUUUUUGCAGUACCAUAAGAAGGCAGGUUAAGUUACCAGUGAUAGGAGUUCUGACCUUAUAAAGGAACCAGGGAGACUGAUGCAGCCUCUUCAUUCAAUUCUUGUAAAAGAUUGCAGAAUGGCAACAUUGAAAUGAAUUCUUCUUCAUUUGGGACACUGAAAAAUACAAAUGGCAGGAUUGUCAAGGUGCUGGUAUCUCUGUUUAUUCUGAGGAAUAGCCAGUCUUGUCAUUGUCUGUUGCUAGUUUUGGUAUAAAAAAAAAUCAGUCUACCCAAAUGAGGUUAUCUGACCCAGAAUCCUUAUUGUCCAGAAAUAUAAUCCAAGCCAUUCUUCAGAGGAUGGCUACCAAUGGAAUUAAAACUCCCUCAUUUCACCCAACCUUAGUGCUACCUGAACUAUAUGUUGUUUUGCUUUAUAGAUAAAAGGUCAAGACAUGUAAAAAAUACCAUGAACAUCACACUCUGUAAUAGGUAAUCAUGAUAUGAAUUUAGGCUAGUGAUUUCUCCAUUAGCAACUUGUAGCAACUUCUAAAGUCAUCCAGCCAUAGCACUAAUAUAUACUGUAAUAGUAAUGAUGACAGGUAUUAUAGUCAGCAAUAACUAUAAUAUUAAGAUGUUAUUAAUAAUAGUCUGUAGGGAAACAAAGCUCAUGGGAAGAAAUAACCUGUUUCCACAAAGGAAACUUACUUGUUUUCCAAUAAAUGUUGUUCCAGCUUUUG